rnacentral:rRNA from 1 species
GCUUGCUAUUUGCUGACGACCGGCGCACGGGUGCGUAACGCGUAUACAAUCUACCUUUUGCUGAGGGAUAGCCCAGAGAAAUUUGGAUUAAGACCUCAUAGUAUGUAUUUAUGGCAUCAUAAAUAUAUUAAAGGUUACGGCAAAAGAUGAGUAUGCGUUCUAUUAGCUAGAUGGUGUGGUAACGGCACACCAUGGCAACGAUAGAUAGGGGCCCUGAGAGGGGGAUCCCCCACACUGGUACUGAGACACGGACCAGACUCCUACGGGAGGCAGCAGUGAGGAAUAUUGGGCAAUGGAGGCAACUCUGACCCAGCCAUGCCGCGUGCAGGAAGACUGCCCUAUGGGUUGUAAACUGCUUUUAUACAGGAAGAAACAGCUCUACGUGUAGAGCCUUGACGGUACUGUAAGAAUAAGGAUCGGCUAACUCCGUGCCAGCAGCCGCGGUAAUACGGAGGAUCCAAGCGUUAUCCGGAAUCAUUGGGUUUAAAGGGUCCGUAGGUGGAUAAUUAAGUCAGAGGUGAAAUCCUGCAGCUCAACUGUAGAAUUGCCUUUGAUACUGGUUAUCUUGAAUUAUUGUGAAGUAGUUAGAAUAUGUAGUGUAGCGGUGAAAUGCAUAGAUAUUACAUAGAAUACCAAUUGCGAAGGCAGAUUACUAACAAUAUACUGACACUGAUGGACGAAAGCGUAGGUAGCGAAAGGGAUUAGAUACCCCGGUAGUCUACGCCGUAAACGAUGGAUAAUAGCUGUUCGGACUUCGGUCUGAGUGGCUAAGCGAAAGUGAUAAGUAUCCCACCUGGGGAGUACGUUCGCAAGAAUGAAACUCAAAGGAAUUGACGGGGGCCCGCACAAGCGGUGGAGCAUGUGGUUUAAUUCGAUGAUACGCGAGGAACCUUACCAGGGCUUAAAUGUAGAUUGACAGGUUUAGAGAUAGACUUUUCUUCGGACAAUUUACAAGGUGCUGCAUGGUUGUCGUCAGCUCGUGCCGUGAGGUGUCAGGUUAAGUCCUAUAACGAGCGCAACCCCUGCCGUUAGUUGCCAGCAUGUUAUGAUGGGGACUCUAACGGGACUGCCAGUGCAAACUGUGAGGAAGGUGGGGAUGACGUCAAAUCAUCACGGCCCUUACGUCCUGGGCCACACACGUGCUACAAUGGCCGGUACAGAGAGCAGCCAUGUUGCAAGACAGAGCGAAAUCUAUAAAACCGGUCACAGUUCGGAUCGGGGUCUGCAACUCGACCCCGUGAAGCUGGAAUCGCUAGUAAUCGGAUAUCAGCCAUGAUCCGGUGAAUACGUUCCCGGGCCUUGUACACACCGCCCGUCAAGCCAUGGAAGUUGGAAGUGCCUGAAGUCCGUCACCGCAAGG